GUUUCUCUUAUGAAGCUAGAUUGAUUGACAUGUUUUUAAAUGUGUUGUAUUAAAUGUGUUGAUACUUCUGUUUUAGACAAUGGACUUUUUCAUGAAGGAAAAAUUGCAACAACAGAAUUUCUGCCUGUUAAUUGAAACAUUUCAAGGCCUUCGUGCAGAAAUUGUCUUUAAGCUCUUCCUGCUGUCUGCACCAUACCACACUAAUGGAAAAUUGGUGUGCACAUCAUACACGGAAAUGAAGCGGUCCUUCAUUGACAUUCAACCUGUUGGCACUAAUUAGUGCUGCACUUGAAUCACGAGACAAGCCAGAAUCCACAUGUCCUGGUGCUUGGUGACAAGGAAAACUCCUCCCGAGAUUUUAUUUUAAACGAGGAGGCGAUGGAACAGGAGACGAUACUACAAGCAGUCAAUAUUUGUUUCAAACUUUUCUUUGUAUAUGACAUCUACUACCUAGCCCUCUGCUCCCAUUUGAGAGUUUUUGGAACAUACAGUCUUUAAUAGUUUCUUCUGCACACUGUCUCCUCCUUAAAAACUUUGUGUUUAGUAAUCAGUAAAAAACUUUAUUUUAUUGAUCAUCAGUAGGUCCAGCAGCUAGUAUAUUGAUUUUAUGAUUAUUUUUUGUUCUAUUAUUAUAUGUUAUGUUCAUUUUAUUUGAAAGUCGUAACAUUUGCCAUGUGUGGUAACCCAUUAGCCCAUCCAAGUGCACAAACACAGCAGUGAGAAGUGAACACACCCCCACAGAGCAGUGGGCAGCUAUAGAUCCAGUGCCCAGGGAGCCACUGAGGGUUCUGUGCUUUGCUCAAGGGCACUUCAGCCAUGGGUAUUGAGGGUGAAGGAGAACGCGGUUCAUUCACCCCCCCUACAUCUCCUGCCAGCACCGAGACUCAAACCUGCGACUUUCAGGUUACAGGUCCAACUCUCUAACCAUAAGGCCACAGCUGUGAACUAUAUUUGCACAUUUGUGUGUUUUGAUAUGAAUAUGAAUUGACACAUUUGUACAUCUU